CUCUGAGAACCAUCUGCUCUGAGCUACACCUUGCUCAGAGCUCCGUCUGCUCAGAAUUCCAUCUUGCUCAGAGCUCCAUCUGCUCAGAGCUCCAUCUUGCUCAGUGCUCCAAUCACUCUGAGCUCCAUCUUGCUCUGAGCAUCAUCUGCUCAGAAUGAACCCAUAUGGAUUCAUAAGAAUUUUGUUCAGCUACGUAA